UAGGAAUUUCAAAAGGGAAAUACAAUAAAAUGAGAGCGUUAAGAAUUUUAAAAUUAUUUGUCUUGUUGUAUCAAUUUAGCCCAAGUAGAGUACUGAGCAGUGUUAUAUUUUAAACCUUAACAUUUUUGCUUUCAGUGGUGCUGUGUAAUUGAGCUGCCCGUCUACCUCAGUUUAUUUUUUUCAUACCUUUGUUACUGCUUCUACAGAAAUAGCACAAAAUAUUCCUUUUCCCUGCUGUGAUUAAGAUUCAUCAUCUCAGUAGGAUUUCAUUUUUCAUUCCAUUUCCAUUUCCUUCGUAAAGCAGUGACGGAUCAAAAUCAUAUCGUUGUGUACCAGCUAAAAAAGUUUAAACUGACAAAAACAAUCAGUCCUAAAAGAGAAACCAGCUUUGCCAUAACAUCUGUUUCUUUCAAGGAAGGAAUAGUUUCAUUUGGGAUGGAAAAUAUGUAUUUAUGGAUAUGAAAAUGUUUUUUGUGGUACUUUGGUCCAUUUGCUACAUUCCAGCACUGCAUUUUGUGUUAGUACAGACAGUUUAACUGUCUGUAACAGACCUGCUUGUGCUAGCUGAUAGAUGAUUAACCUUCAUAAUGCAUUUCAUACCCUCAAGUGUUUCUCACUGCAGCAUAUUGCCACACUAAUUCCUUUUUUGUUACUUGAAGACCUGUAUCAUCCAAAAUGUGUAGAUAUAAGAUUGCUUUAAGCAUUAAAUUCAGGGGGAAAAGCUCUGGAAAUGCCACUUGUGAAAUGACGUUCAUCCAGGCUGGGGGAAGCUCUGACAAAUGCUUUUGAAGACCUUUGGUGAAUUUAUUGAACUGUUAUAGUCAAAAACCAAUCUUCUUAAGAGGAAAGAUGGCCACGAAAAUGGCCAAGGACUGGUUUUGAGAGGAGAAAACUAUUAGUGGCUGGACCAUUCUGGAGCAGGACAGGAGAACACUUGUGAAGGAGGUAUCACCUCUUGUAAGCAAAGGGGGGAAAUCCUCUUUGAGGGAAAAGAAAGUCAGAGGAAUAACAUUUUAUCAGACCUGGAUGUGGUCCUAGAGAUGUGUUAUCUAAGGAGAAGGAAAGAUAAUCACACCAUAAGGAGAUCAGGGGCUCAGAUCGCCUUGUAAAUGACAGUUCAUGGGCAUGAAGGUUCUUACUGCUGAUUAUGUGGUGUGUCUUUGCCUUCAACAUAAGGCUUAUUUCUGAGCUGGAAUGCACUGUGGUAUCCCAGCCACCCCCUCAAGGUAUCUUUGCUCCAAACAAAGUGGAGGUACCUGUUGUCUCAGCAUGGUCAUGGAAGGCAGUGAAGUGAUCUUGAUUUAGAAGACACAUUUUGUCCAUGAAUGGGGGAAUAAAUAACCAAAACUGUA